CCUACGGGAGGCAGCAGUGAGGGAUAUUGCACAAUGGGGGGAACCCUGAUGCAGCGACGCCGCGUGGGUGAAGGAGUGCUUCGGCAUGUAAAGCCCUAUCGGCAGGGAAGAAGCAAGACGGUACCUGACUAAGAAGCCCCGGCUAACUACGUGCCAGCAGCCGCGGUAAUACGUAGGGGGCGAGCGUUAUCCGGAUUCACUGGGUGUAAAGGGAGCGUAGACGGCCAUGCAAGCCAGGGGUGAAAGCCCGGGGCCCAACCCCGGGACUGCCCUUGGAACUGCAUGGCUGGAGUGCGGGAGGGGCAGGCGGAAUUCCUGGUGUAGCGGUGAAAUGCGUAGAUAUAUGGAAGAACACCAGUGGCGAAAGCGGCUCUCUGGUCUGUAACUGACGCUGAGGUUCGAAAGCGUGGGUAGCAAACAGGAUUAGAUACCCCGGUAGUC
rnacentral:rRNA from 1 species